ACGCGGUCUGUAUUCAUCUGCUGAAUCAGGUUGGCCACGACGAGGAGACGGACACGACCGCGUCGUCCCAUCGACCUCCGGGGCCUUUGAUAUCUCAGGGUGUGUGUCAUGUUAUGUUGGGUUUCCUGUGAUUUCGGUGCGGGUAGCUACAUAGCGUCCGUGGGCCAUGCGUGUGACAUGCAUGCUAGGUAAUCUUGACUCCGGUGCGACGGUGCUGGAACCGCCUCCGCUGGUUACGACCGCCGUGGCUAUGCUUGAAGGCAGAAUCACCACGAUGACUGUAGUUGCCGCACUCAGAUCAGAACGGCAGCCACGGUAUAUGAUCAAGCCUUUACUGUCGUCCUCUGAAUUUGGGAUCACGUGCAUCUGCAAGAGAAAGAGCAUGAGAGCCUAAGAGGGUAGUACCACGUUACGAACAAGUUGAUUUUUAUCCAUGGAAUUGAUCUGAUGCGAAGCUGAUGCCACAUAAAAGGUUAACUGAGUUCUUAUCUCCAAUAUGUCAUGAUGUUACAGUUCAAUUAUUUUCACCUCUCUAGCUACUAUGCACGGAAGGUGUUUGCUAAUUUGCACAAUGAUAUUUUCUGGUAAAAUACGCUAAUAUUACCUUCAUUUUUUCACAUUUUAGUGAUGUCCUCUUAUUAAUCCCUUCUAUAAUCAAAUCUGAUAUGUAUUUGUUCAUCUAGGCAUCUAGCUGCAGGUGGAAUAACAAGAUUCAGUGUGUGCAACGACAACAAUAAAUAACAUGUCAUUAGGGAGACUUCUGACAAUUGAACCCUGCAUUUUUUUGGCAUUAGUACAACUGUUCUACUGCAUUAUUCAACUAUGCGCGAUGAAGCUGAUAUAGGGUGUGGACUAGACAAUUUAUUCAGUUUUCUUCAAGAAGGACCAAGGAAUGAACACGAAGCAAAUUAUAACUCUCAGGUUCAUGGUUUAGGAGCAGGAAAGAACACUUCCAAUUGUGUAGAUGGGUCAUCAGUAGCAUUUCUCUAAUUAUUCUUAUAGAGACUGAUUUGGAUUGUUGAAGGAAAGGAUCUCAAUUCUCAAUAGCAAACUGCACUGGGACAUCUUGGACCUAUUCUCCACAUUUCUGAGCUAGAUAUGUUGGUGAGCGGG